UACGUAGGGGGCAAGCGUUAUCCGGAUUUACUGGGUGUAAAGGGAGCGCAGGCGGCGCGGCAAGUCUGAUGUGAAAGCCCGGGGCUCAACCCCGGGACUGCAUUGGAAACUGUCGAGCUGGAGUGUCGGAGGGGCAAGUGGAAUUCCUAGUGUAGCGGUGAAAUGCGUAGAUAUUAGGAGGAACACCAGUGGCGAAGGCGGCUUGCUGGACGACAACUGACGCUGAGGCGCGAAAGCGUGGGGAGCAA
rnacentral:rRNA from 1 species